rnacentral:tRNA from 1 species
CUAGACAGACGGGCCUUGAUCCCGUAAAAUUUUAAUUAACAGCUAAACACCCAAUCCAGCGGGCUUCUGUCCG